ensembl:lncRNA LINC01164 long intergenic non-protein coding RNA 1164
GUACUCUUGCAAUCGUGGCUGAUGCAGGCAGCAUCCUUCUGCAGAAGUAAAUUGCCUUGCCGAGAAAACUUUUUGUCUGAGUGCAGGUUCUUCUUUGUGGCACCGAGCAUUUGUUUCCAACACCAGGAAGCCAGCCCGCCAUCUACACUAACCAACCUAGGAAGCCAGCCUGCUGUCUACAGUGAUCAGCCCAGGAGCCUGCCUGCUACGUACCAAUCAGUCUGUUAUGGAACAAUCCGAAUGACUGAAUCACAGCACCACAGUAAUGAUUCUGCAACACUGAACUUGACUGUCCCAAGGAAAUCACAACUGCCAUCUCAAGAAAGCCUGUCUGCAGCAACCAUUCCAUGGUCCUCAAAGUCGUGGCCACCGGAGAGGCUGGUUUCAAUUCGCCCCCAACUCCGGCUGGAGAGAGUUGAGGAGGAAGGCAGCGGCCUGGGCUGAGUGGGAAAUGCCUGCACUGGAGGGAACUUUGAACCCUCGUUUUCACCCAGUCCCAUCGAGAAGCCAAGUGCUCCCUCCUCAGGCCAGAGCUCCCAGCUGCAGACACAGGUUCAGCCCCCAGCUGAGCGAGGAGCGGCUUCCAUGCCGGGGCCUGCCUCUCUGCCGCUCUCCACCGGUCCUUCGCAGCCGCUCCGAUGCUCUCCACGGGUCCUUUGCAGCCGCGUCCUGGCCCUGAGGCGGUGACACAGAAGCCCACGUCCGUUUCCUUUCUGCUUGCCUGUUUGUAGUUUUGGAAUCUGAGUGGAAGGGCACAUGCUGUGGAUCAUAUUCUCCUUCUAGUCUCUCGGUUGCUCACGUGGGAAGAGAACCCCAGCGGGAGUGAUUCAGGAGGCGGGCGCUGCCACGUCCUGACUGCAGAGAACCUCCUGGAGAAACAGAAGCCAUGGGUCCUGAUGCCCGAGCCGGCGACGACUCUGAGCACACUGUGAGCAGAGAACCUCCUGGAGAAACAGAGGCCAUGGGUCCUGACGCCUGAGCCAGCAACUUACUCUGAGCACACUGUGAAGGGCGGCUGUGAAUUUUUCUUCUUUCUCAAACAACGAUGCAAUCAUUGGGAUCACUUGUCCUCCUGGGAUGGGUUUGUGUGAGACUGAUGUCUUCCGAAAAACACAGCCCCAAGGGAGUCGAGACGAUGUACCAGGUAGAAUAAGGCACAGGGGAGCCGCUUGACAAAUCAGACGACGGCAGCCGGCCUGCCUGCCCGGCGUGGGGGCUCCUGGGGAAACGACGACUUCUGAUGCCUGACCACCCCCAGGCUGACGCCCUCCCUCCUGCCCAGGGCUGAGGCUGGACCCAGGGCACCUCCUUCGAAUGGCCUCUCUCUUCCUCCCUAACACAGAGCAAUCAACAGCUGUAUAAAAUAAUUGCCCUAAAAUCACAAAUUAAAAGAAAAUCAGCAGCCAAAGUUCCUUCCUGA